rnacentral:rRNA from 1 species
CCGUAGCCCAAGAGAUCGGGAUAACACCUGGAAACAGAUGCUAAUACCGGAUAACAACAGAUGAUGCCUAUCAACUGUUUAAAAGAUGGUUCUGCUAUCACUCUUGGAUGGACCUGCGGUGCAUUAGCUAGCUGGUAGGGUAACGGCCUACCAAGGCGAUGAUGCAUAGCCGAGUUGAGAGACUGAUCGGCCACAUUGGGACUGAGACACGGCCCAAACUCCUACGGGAGGCAGCAGAC